GAGGGUAUAGCUGAGUGGUACAGUGCUUGUUUAGUAUGCACGAGGUCCUGGGUUCAAUCCCUAGUACCUCCA
rnacentral:tRNA from 1 species